AGGAAAUUAAACCUAAAACUUUGUGAAAAUUUAAUCUGAAAUCGAAUAUUUUGUCUAAUCAAAUAUAUAUAUUAUUGGAAAGAGUUAAAUGAUGACGAUAGCAUUAUCAAAAUAGUCUUUACCUUAAAAGAGAAUUGAGGAUCUAGAACAUAUUUGUAUGUUAUUGAAUGUCCUGUGGCCCUUUAUAGCUUGCUGUUCGGUGUUAGCCAAGGCUCCGUGUCGAAGACCUACAUGUUUAAUGGUUUACUUUUACAUAUUGUGACUUAGAUUGAGAGUUGUCUCAUUAUCACUCAUACCACAUCUUCUUAUAUCUUUUGUUUUGUACUUCAUAUCAUGUUUUAAGUUUAUUUUUACUGACUAUUUAUUGUUGUCCAAUAAAAAUAGC
rnacentral:lncRNA from 1 species